rnacentral:sRNA from 1 species
GUCGGGUUGGGGACGAAGCGGUUGACCCGGUCACCGAUGAUCACCUGGGUGUGCCGACCGUCGCUGACCAUCUGAAUGCCGCGCCGGCGAAAUCUCUU